UUGCAAAGCCAUGCGAGUCAUUGUAGUAAUACAAGGCAGACGGCUCAAGUAACACGUAGUCACACUAACCUAUUGACGGGGAUAACCUCGGGAAACUGAGAAUAAUACCCGAUAGGCCAUUAUGCCUGGAAUGGUUUAUGGCUGAAAUUUUUUAUCGCAAUAGGAUGGGACUGCGGCCUAUCAGUUUGUUGGUGAGGUAAUGGCCCACCAGCUAUAUAACAGGUACGGGCUCUGAGAGGAGAAGCCCGGAGAUGGGUACUGAGACACGGACCCAGGCCCUAUGGGGCGCAGCAGGCGAGAAAACUUAGCAAUGUGCGAAAGCACGACAAGGUUAAUCCGAGUGUUUCCUGCUAAAGGAAUCUUUUGUCAGUCCUAAAAACACUGAUGAAUAAGGGGUGGGCUAGUUCUGGUGUCAGCCGCCGCGGUAAAACCAGCACCUCAAGUGGUCAGGAGGAUUAUUGGGCCUAAAGCAUCCGUAGCCGGCUGCAUAAGUCUUCGGUUAAAUUCAUAUGCUCAACAUAUGGGCUGCCGGAGAUACUGUGCAGCUAGGGAGUGGGAGAGGUGGACGGUACUCGAUAGGAAGGGGUAAAAUCCUUUGAUCUAUUGAUGACCACCUGUGGCGAAGGCGGUCCACCGGAACACGUCCGAAGUUGAGGGAUGUUUGCUGGGGGAGCUUACCGGAUUAGAUACCCGGGUAGUCCCAGCUGUAAACAAUGCAAGUUCAGUGAUGCAUUGGCUUGCUGCCAGUGCAGUGCCGCAGGGAAGCCGUUAAGUUUGCCGCCUGGGAAGUACGUACGCAAGUAUGAAACUUAAAGGAAUUGGCGGGGGAGCACCACAAGGGGUGAAGCCUGCGGCUAG
rnacentral:rRNA from 1 species